rnacentral:piRNA from 1 species
UGUCCUUGGUGUAUGAUGAUGGUUUG